UGUGUGUGUAUGUGUGAAAGUAAUUAGGAUAGAUGAUUAGUCUUCUCUCUCCUCACCUCUUUUCUCUUUUCCUCCCUCUCUCCACGCCAAGUUCCUCCUUCACUGUGAAGUUUUUCAACAGCCCUAUACUCCCACCGAUCAGCCACCGCGACUCCUCCGGCCACUCCACCGUGAAACAUGUAAAACACUCCACCAAUCCAAGCUCUCAAUUCCCCAUUCUUCCUCUCAAUUUUGGAGCUUAGGUUGCAAACUCACCUCCACUUAUCUUUAGAAAAUAGUUGAAAUUAGAGAGUAUAGAAGCGAGUGAACUCGCUAGUUGGCAGCAGUACGUGUCAAGUCACUACCCGCUUUUUGCUGGUAAAGUUGGAGUUUACACGUAGCAUGCUUAGGUUAUCUUUUGUUUGUAAAUAGUUGGGUUACAAAUGUGAGGUUAGAACCUUCUUUUGCUAAUGGGGAUGUAAAUAACUAUCGAAGCAAGUUAUCGAUAUUUUGUGCCCAUCACCCGUAGCAAAAAUGUCUAGGUAAGGAAGUCUAGAUUUUUGUUCAUCUGUUGAAUUUCUUUGUAUUUAAAGUUGGUUCCAUCGCUAAAGCAAAUGAAAAGAUACUUUUCUUCAA